GUUUGAUCCUGGCUCAGGACGAACGCUGGCGGCGUGCUUAACACAUGCAAGUCGAGCGGUAAGGCCCUUCGGGGUACACGAGCGGCGAACGGGUGAGUAACACGUGAGCAACCUGCCCCUGACUCUGGGAUAAGCGGUGGAAACGCCGUCUAAUACCGGAUACGACACACCGCCUCAUGGCGUGUGUGUGGAAAGUUUUAUCGGUCAGGGAUGGGCUCGCGGCCUAUCAGCUAGUUGGUGGGGUAAAGGCCUACCAAGGCGAUUACGGGUAGCCGGCCUGAGAGGGCGACCGGCCACACUGGGACUGAGACACGGCCCAGACUCCUGCGGGAGGCAGCAGUGGGGAAUAUUGCACAAUGGGCGAAAGCCUGAUGCAGCGACGCCGCGUGGGGGAUGACGGCCUUCGGGUUGUAAACCUCUUUUACCACCAACGCAGGCUCCACGUACUCGUGGGGUUGACGGUAGGUGGGGAAUAAGGACCGGCUAACUACGUGCCAGCAGCCGCGGUAAUACGUAGGGUCCGAGCGUUGUCCGGAAUUAUUGGGCGUAAAGAGCUCGUAGGCGGCGUGUCACGUCUGCUGUGAAAGACCGGGGCUUAACUCCGGUUCUGCAGUGGAUACGGGCAUGCUAGAGGUAGGUAGGGGAGACUGGAAUUCCUGGUGUAGCGGUGAAAUGCGCAGAUAUCAGGAGGAACACCGGUGGCGAAGGCGGGUCUCUGGGCCUUACCUGACGCUGAGGAGCGAAAGCAUGGGGAGCGAACAGGAUUAGAUACCCUGGUAGUCCAUGCCGUAAACGUUGGGCGCUAGGUGUGGGGACUUUCCACGGUUUCCGCGCCGUAGCUAACGCAUUAAGCGCCCCGCCUGGGGAGUACGGCCGCAAGGCUAAAACUCAAAGGAAUUGACGGGGGCCCGCACAAGCGGCGGAGCAUGUUGCUUAAUUCGACGCAACGCGAAGAACCUUACCAAGGUUUGACAUCACCCGUGGACCUGUAGAGAUACAGGGUCAUUUAGUUGGUGGGUGACAGGUGGUGCAUGGCUGUCGUCAGCUCGUGUCGUGAGAUGUUGGGUUAAGUCCCGCAACGAGCGCAACCCUUGUUCCAUGUUGCCAGCACGUAAUGUGGGGACUCAUGGGAGACUGCCGGGGUCAACUCGGAAGGAA
rnacentral:rRNA from 1 species